GGAGGGGGGAGGAGGUAAAAUUUAUCAAGGGCUUCCAGUGUGCUGAGCACGGGGUUGAGCACUGCAUCUGUGUGAUAUUCUUUCAUCCCCAGCUAGGGGGUAAAAAAGUCCUACUCCCAAUAUAAGAUGAAGAAACGGGUCAGAGAUAAAUAAGUGGCCUUCAAGCCAGUGCGCUACAGAAUCAGAGAAGGACCACAACUUUCUUUGACUCCCAAGUCCAGCCCCUUUCUAAUUCUGCUUCAUCACUACCCUCCUGCCCACAACUAUGCACAUGGCCUGGGCUGUCGCCCCUCUAGCCUGACCCUCUGAUCUGAGGGUGUCGCAAGAGGCCAUGGAAAGGACUCGACCACCAGUUAACCAGUGAGCUGGACCCUGGCCAUAGGAGGCUCCACACUCCUCCCUGUCCUUGUAAAGUCGAAGUACUCUCUGUUCAUCAUUCCCACUGUGGGAGACCAUUGCAAGGAUGCAGCCAUAAGACAGCAAGAUUCUGGUGGGUGGGUGCAGAGAUCUACUUGUCCUGCGGCUCCCCUGAGAUAAACCAUCCAGCAACUCCUCCCUGUUGUUAAAGCUCCACCUACCAGUCCGCAGUUCUCGCGAGAAGGAGCUCCCAAACAUGGCUGCCGCCAGUGUCUGUGUUUCUGGAAGGAGCUGCAGGCGACCCCUUACCACCUCUCCAGGAGCCUCUCCAAGACCCGCAGGCAGUAUGAUGACCACAAAUGGAUUUCAGGAUGUGGACAGUCACUGGAGACCUGAAAAGGAUGGACGAGGACCUUCAAGGAUGUACAACACAGGAAACUCUGCUCAAUGUUAUAUGGCAGCCUGGAUGGGAGAGGAGUUUGGAGGAGAGUGGAUACACAUAUAUGUAUGGCUGAGUCCCUUGGCUGUCUGCCUGAAAGUAUCAUAACAUUGUUAAUCGGCUAUACUCCAAUAUAAAAUAAAAAGUAAAAAAAAAAAAUAUUGCAAACUGACAAGGUGGGUCUGCUCCGGAGCCAUCUCUUUUCAGCCCCUGCGUGGAGCAGCUGAUAUGAUCCCAGGCGCUCCUAAAAAACCUGUGUUCUCUCUGGGUGUGGAAAUAGAGCUCUCCAGGCAGGCAGGAGUGUCUGCUGCCCAGGUGACCUAGGACAGCCCUGCCUGAUUUAUCCAGGAAACAGCUGACCCCCAUUAGGGCGCUGAUCAGCAUAGAUAGGCCCGAUGAAGGUGCGCCCUUGACACCACAGUUGGUUAACUUCUGAGCACUGGCCGACACUUCAUAGUGCUGAGCUGUGUGAGAAAGCUCUUCUUCCAGAAGCCACAGGCCCCAGAAGCUCUGCCUAGAUGGGUGACAUUUGUGUGGAUAAACCUCGAGUGGCCUUGACUCCACUCCCUGUUCAGGACUGCUUUGUCCUGAGCUGCUAAAUUUCUUCUCUCUCCUCUCCUAGGAGAGGAUGAUUAGCAUCCGUCCACUUCCAUUUCUGUCCCCUCAGACCCCAAAUGGCACAGAAACAACCCCUCAGAAGUAAUGACAAAUGUAAGGGUGACCCACCCAGCCAGGGUAUUGUGAAUGGGAAGCUUAGUAUCUCAAACCCACAUCGUUGUUAUUUACUUACUAAGUUGUGUCUGAUUCUUUGUGACCCCAUGGACUGUAGCCCGCCAGGCUCCUCUGUUCAUGAGAUUCUCCAGGCAAGAAUACUGGAGUGGAUUGCCAUUUCCUCCUCCAGGGGAUCUUCCCUAUCCAGGGAUCGAACACACGUCUCUUGUGUUUCCUACCUUAGUAGGCAGAUGCUUUACCACUAGCGCCAUUUUCAAAGUUGUGCGUGACAAAUGAAACAAGACUGAUCACAGUUCCCGAUACCUAGUAAGCUCCCAAUGAAUAUUCACUAAAAAUGUAUUAGCU
ensembl:lncRNA